rnacentral:tRNA from 1 species
GCCCUCGUAGCUCAGCGGCAGAGCACUUCUUUGGUAAAGAAGAGGUCACGGGUUCAAUUCUCGUCGAGGGCUCCA